UACGUAGGGUGCGAGCGUUGUCCGGAAUUAUUGGGCGUAAAGGGCUCGUAGGCGGUUUGUCGCGUCUGCUGUGAAAACUCGGGGCUUAACCUCGGGCUUGCAGUGGAUACGGGCAGACUAGAGUGCGGUAGGGGAGACUGGAAUUCCUGGUGUAGCGGUGGAAUGCGCAGAUAUCAGGAGGAACACCGAUGGCGAAGGCAGGUCUCUGGGCCGCAACUGACGCUGAGGAGCGAAAGCAUGGGGAGCGAACAGG
rnacentral:rRNA from 1 species